CUGGAUCUAAACAAAAAAAGUACAAAUUGGUUCCUGAUAAAAAUUACACAGCACCAUACAAUUUUAGAUUCGGAGCAUUCGGAGAGUUCAUUUUUUUAAUUUUUCAAGAAGUUUUCAUAAUAUUUUGGAAAAUAGGGGAAACAAAUUUCGUUUUUGAAAUAAAAAUCCGUCAAACUCAAAAGAGCGUUGUAAAUUGUUCGGUCCAAACACCUAAGCACCACUUAUUUUCAAAGACUAAGAUUUUUAAGUAGAUUUUAUAGAUAGUUCUAAGCGUAAAAUAGGCAGGAGAUUGUUGUUGAUUUGUAAUUCUGUUUUAUUAUUAAAAUAACAGUUAAUCGGAAAUAAUUAGUAUGUUACCUGUAAGCAUAGACUUAUAUAUCUAUAUGGAACGUUCAGCAUGAAAAUGCGUUCCGGUAGGUAGAGUUUAAUUUCAAGGACAGAAACACGUGAGAUAAUAAACGGAGUGUUUUAAUUGGCUAUCCUCAAAGUGCAAAUUUUCUCUCUCUUACACCAGGCCUAUCUCUCUUAAUCCGUUCUGAUCGAUCGCGUCUCCCAGUCUUCGGGGUGAAUGUUCCGUCUACACAUAUAUAAAGUCUAUGCCUGUAUGCCACCCGGGAACCAAUUCGGAUGUGUACCUAUAGACUUUCCGGGAACCAGAUCGAUAAUUGAAAACAAAUGUGUAGGAAUCCGUAAUAAUAUAGGUACAUAUUUUGUUUUGUGAACUCAUUGGUGCUAAAUUUAAUUUCCGGGUUCAUCUAUAUGUAAAAUUAAAUCGUCUCUAUUUUCCAUAACGCAUUAUGACGAUCACUCACCAACAUUUUCGAUCGGGUUAUUUUGGGUACAAUGUCCUAGAAAAAUAUGUCAAUAACAACUCUCAUGUUUUUACGCCAUUUGAAAAUAAUUAAGUACUGUUAAUAUAAUAAUUUACUAUGGUAACAUUUUUGUAUAAGUAGUCGUAUUGAGUGUAUAUUGAGGACCGUAAUAUGCAAAAUUAAGUACAAUGAAAAAUAUAACAGAAGUACCUAGUGACUAGUGGCCAAGUCCCU